AUCUCACUCAGUCAUUUAUAUUCACGAAUAAAAUAAUUAUAUAAUGCACAGGCUGCUUCGCAUAAAUUGAACAUUUAUAAUAACUCUUACUAUCGAAGAUGAUACAAAAUGACGAAGAGGAUAAAGGAAAUUGUCGAUGACUGGAAUAAACUUUGUGUCUGCUCUUAUCAAUAUCGUUAGACGCGUAUCUUCCAGCUACAUAUAUACACUUUAUCUUAUCCUUAAAAAUAGUGGAAUUAAUUCAAAUGUCCAAUUUAAGCGAGACAUCCUGCACGUAAAUACAUAUAGUAAUCAUAUACAGGAUAUUGCCAAACAAGAAGGGGAUAUUUAUACGAUAAAUUCGAGAAAGUAGGACUUCAUCGUAUAUUUAUAUACGAAUAUAUGAAAUAAAACAUUCAUAUCACUCUGUU